AGAAUCAACGCUGGCGGCGUGCCUAACACAUGCAAGUCGAACGAGAAAGUGGAGCAAUCCAUUAGUAAAGUGGCGCACGGGUGAGUAACACGUGACUAACCUACCUUUUAGUGGGGGAUAACCUAGGGAAACCUGGGCUAAUACCGCAUAAUACCUACGGGUCAAAGCAGCAAUGCGCUGAAAGAGGGGGUCGCGGUCGAUUAGUUAGUUGGCAGGGUAAUGGCCUACCAAGACUGUGAUCGAUAUCCGGCCUGAGAGGGCGCACGGACACACUGGAACUGAAACACGGUCCAGACUCCUACGGGAGGCAGCAGUGGGGAAUUUUGCGCAAUGGGGGAAACCCUGACGCAGCAACGCCGCGUGGAGGAUGAAGUCCCUUGGGACGUAAACUCCUUUCGAUCGGGACGAUAAUGACGGUACCGGAAGAAGAAGCCCCGGCUAACGUUCGUGCCAGCAGCCGC
rnacentral:rRNA from 1 species